GACGAACGCUGGCGGCGUGCCUAAUACAUGCAAGUUGAGCGCUGAAGGUUGGUACUUGUACCGACUGGAUGAGCAGCGAACGGGUGAGUAACGCGUGGGGAAUCUGCCUUUGAGCGGGGGACAACAUUUGGAAACGAAUGCUAAUACCGCAUAAAAACUUUAAACACAAGUUUUAAGUUUGAAAGAUGCAAUUGCAUCACUCAAAGAUGAUCCCGCGUUGUAUUAGCUAGUUGGUGAGGUAAAGGCUCACCAAGGCGAUGAUACAUAGCCGACCUGAGAGGGUGAUCGGCCACAUUGGGACUGAGACACGGCCCAAACGCCUACGGGAGGCAGCAGUAGGGAAUCUUCGGCAAUGGACGAAAGUCUGACCGAGCAACGCCGCGUGAGUGAAGAAGGUUUUCGGAUCGGAAAACUCGGUUGGUAGAGAAGAACGUUGGUGAGAGUGGAAAGCUCAUCAAGUGACGGUAACUACCCAGAAAGGGACGGCUAACUACGUG
rnacentral:rRNA from 1 species